rnacentral:rRNA from 1 species
GGCAGGCCUAACACAUGCAAGUCGAGCGGUAGAGNGGUGCUUGCAUCUCUUGAGAGCGGCGGACGGGUGAGUAAUGCCUAGGAAUCUGCCUAGUGGUGGGGGAUAACGUUCGGAAACGGACGCUAAUACCGCAUACGUCCUACGGGAGAAAGCGGGGGAUCUUCGGACCUCGCGCCAUUAGAUGAGCCUAGGUCGGAUUAGCUAGUUGGUGAGGUAAUGGCUCACCAAGGCGACGAUCCGUAACUGGUCUGAGAGGAUGAUCAGUCACACUGGAACUGAGACACGGUCCAGACUCCUACGGGAGGCAGCAGUGGGGAAUUUUGGACAAUGGGCGCAAGCCUGAUCCAGCAAUGCCGCGUGCAGGAUGAAGGCCUUCGGGUUGUAAACUGCUUUUGUACGGAACGAAACGGUGAGCUCUAAUACAGUUUGCUAAUGACGGUACCGUAAGAAUAAGCACCGGCUAACUACGUG